rnacentral:lncRNA from 1 species
ACACCGCUUGUGGAGGAGCGACCUCCCAGAAGCCGGAACCAAUACGUAUGAGUAUGAUCCCAUCCUCAAUUUGAGGAGGUAUGGCCAACCAGUCUCAAUGCCACAAUGCCGAUGAAAGGUCUUUACCUAUUCAUGCAUAUACUACCAUUUCCCAAUAUCACAAUGGUCCUGAUGCCACAAUAAGCUAAAUCUUGUUUAGUCAUUUUCUUUAACCAUGAUGCCACAAUACCGAUGAUAGGUCUUUACCUAUUCAUGUAUGUCACUUUACUAAGCCACAAUGGUCACAAUGCAUAGAAUGGUCUUUACUUCAUCUAGCAUAUCAUGCUCUUAGCCACUUUUGCCAUUAUUCUCAUAUUGCUCAUAAGGGCUUACCCUACUUAGCACAUCAAUUCAUAUUGUGACAAGGUCACAUUAUCUAGGGCCACACUUGCUACAAUAUCCACUAAUAGGAUAGUCAAUAUUUCACAAUGCUUUUAAGGUUUUACCUUAUCUAGCACAAUAUGUCCUCGGUGCCAAUCAUGUCACUAGAGUCAAUGUCACCUUUAUUUACUAUGGAUCAAGUCUUUUCUCACUUUCACAUACAUAGAGGGUUGUUCAUUUUCUCGUUCUCAUGGCUUUACAAUAUAUUUGCAAUGUUCAUAAGCAGAUAAUUGAUACAAUCAACAUUUAUCUCAUUACCCUAUAUGCAUGAGUACAACAUUAUCAACAUGCUCAAAGAAGUGACAUAGAUAUAGAAAGAGAUCCGGUGUUUUCGGACAGCACCCCCCAUCUUGUAGGAAUGCCUAGAAGCCCCGAUUCAAUUUUCACGAUUUUUAGACACCUACGCCGCGAGCUGCGGCCAUCUGUACCAAUUUAGCUUGUUUCUUCAAUAUCUUCGCAUACGCUCGUCGUAUCGCCGAAUCGAGCGCACCAACGCGUUCGUUGACCUAUCAAUUAGGUUAACAAGAGAUCAAACUCAAGUUAGAUCUCAACUCUACAAAAUCCCAUUUUCUAACCC